GUGCUCCUCCGGGAGGCUCAGGCCGCGCAGGAGCCCACGGCGGGGCGGGGGAGCUCAGUUAUGGCGGGCUGCGGGUCCCGAGCCCUGCCCAGCGGGGAGGCAGCUAAGGCCUGGCGAGAAAUCGAGUGCAGCGCCGGUGGGCCAGCACUGCUGGGGGACCAGGCGCACCCUCCGCAGCUGCUGGCCUGGAUGCUAAGCCCCUCACUGCCUGGGGCAGCAGGGCUGGCCGGCCGCUCCGAGUGCGGGGCCGCCAAGCCCACGCCCACCCGGAACUCUAGCUGGCCCGCAAGCGCCACGCGCAGCCCCGGUUCCCGCCCGUGCCUCUCCCUCCAAACCUCCCCACAAGCCGAGGGAGCCAGCUCCGGCCUCGGCCAGCCCAGAGAAGGUCUCCCACGGUGCAGCGGCGGGCUGAAGGGCUCCUCAAGUGCGGCCAGAAUGGGCGCCGAGGCCAAGGGGGCACCGAGAGCGAGCCAGGGCUGUGAGGGCCGCCAUCACGCUGUCACCUCUCACAGGAGCGAUAUGGGAGAGGAGGAGGGGGAAAGCCAAAGGAUAAUAACUCCGGGCUCCCCAGCCUUUGGACUCCAGUGCUUAACAAGAAGGCCCCUUCAGGAUUCUCAGACCUUUGGUUUUGGACUGAGAAAUACACCAUUGGCUUUCCUGGUUCUGAGGCUUUUGGUCUUGGACUGAGCCACGCCGUCAGCAUCCCAGGGUUUGCAGCUUGCAGAUCGCCUGUCAUGGGACUUCUCAGCCUCCAUAAUCACAUGCUGGAAGAAGACUUUUCAUGCCUUUUCUUAGAGACAGGGUCUCACUCUGUCACCCAGGCUGGAGAGCAGGGGCGCAAUCAGAACUCACUGCAGCCUCCAACUCCUGGGCUCAAGCAAUCCUCCCACCUCCACCUCCUGAGUAACUGGAACUACAGGAUCGAGAACAUCCUGGAAGUAAGAGCGGAAGCAGAAAAGCCAGCAAAGCAGGCCAUCACAAUAGACGUGGCGUGAGAUGGAGGCCUCAUGAGACAGCAGAUGACCAGUUACAGGAGAAUCAUCAGAAAGAGAACAAGAAAGACUGAGGUAAAAAUGACUAACGGUGUUUUUGUGCUCCCUUCCUGCUUUCCUUUGAAGGAUAAUCAUUGGUUUAUCAAAAAAUGUACUUGCCAUGAAUUAUAUCACAUGCUUCUAGAAAUAUGAGUUAUAUAGAAAUGUUGGAAUAUAAGCUAUGUUAUAUGGAGUCUUUUUGUUAACAGGAAUUUUCCUAAUUCUUUAUGAUUCUCUAUGCCUAUAUGAAUCCAAAGCUGUUUCAUUUUAUUUUGGGCCCAAAUACUUUAUUAUAAUCAUAAUAACAAGCCUACAAUAAUUUUGCAGGCUUGCUAAUAGAGAGCCUACAGUUUGUUGUUUAUCAAGCCAGCAUUUGAGUUAGGCCUCAUAAAUAUGCCCAGACCUGAGGCGUAAAUUGUAUGCUAAAUAGGAAGGGAAGCCUGUGCUCUGCAGAAUAGUUCACUGAGGAGAGCCUCUCUAAGCUGUGAGAUUCUAAAAAAGGACUAAAAAUUUGGAGAUAAUUGUCUCUACUCCAUGCCCAAUGGACACAUCCAUAUAGAAAAUAUCCCUUUUAUUAACUUCACUUUUUUUUUAGAACAAACUUUUCAACACACCCCUUGCCAUGAGCAGGGUGGAUAUGACAAGGCAACCAACACUCUGACACAAUAAUAGAGCUCUAAGCCAAGACAGUUUCAAUGUGACCUUUCAUUUUCUCUAAUUGCCUUUCUCUUAUUAAUCCUGAUCUGCCUAUUAUUGAUAGUAUCAUUACGCUAUGCUUCUAAUGACUUUGCCUGGGAGGAUCAGGAGUUUUUUAAAUAUUUGGAAUGUUAUUUAGCAGAAAAACUUGGUGGGGAAGGAAAAGUAUCAUAAUUAAAAGUAACAGUUCUCAGGCUUUCUCACUACUCUUCCUACCUAAAUCCUAACCAUCUCUUAAAAUAUACCUUAGCUGCUGCAUCCUCCAUGAAUUUUCUUGGACUGCAUUAGUCCAAUGAUUAGAUUUUUGCUCUUACUAUUCAUUUGACUCAACUGAUACUUUUUAUGCCACUCUAAUCUAUGGUACAUUAUUUAUAUAGAUUGUCUUAAGUCCUUCACUGAGUUGUAAGCUCUUUGAGGUUAAUACUUAGGAAUAUGAUAACACAAUGUGAAUAAGCCUCAUUGUCAUUUCUUGUCACUUUCUUGUUACUUUCUCAAUAAGCCUCAUUGAGGCUUAUUCUCAUUGUAUUCUCAUGUUUCUAAACACUAUUCUCUCUGCCAGUAGUAAAUUUUUAUCAUAAUCGUAUUGAUAAUGUUAAUGCCAUUUUAUAUUUAUAUUAUUUAUUGGGUUUUACAAAAUAUUUUCAUGUAUAUGAUCUUUUAAAUUCUCCCCACUGUCCUGUGUGUGAGGUGUCUACUCUAAUUUUAGAGAUGAAAAAGUAGAAUCAAAUGAAAAUUUAAGUUAUUUAUCAAAAGUCAAAACAUAUCAUAGAAUUUAUUGAUUAAGUAGGAAGAUUUCAGUAUUGUUGUUAUCUCAGCUCUGACUUUAUUGUGAUUAAUGCAGUAAAGUAGAAAUAAACUCACAAAAUUUUUACACUUUGGAAAAACCCAAGAAGGUUAAAGGCUCUCAGACGAAUGGGGACAGGUUACAUAUGACUCAUUAUCUUUGGAUAUGCAUAUGCUGUUCCCCCAGUAGGAAGAAAAAAGAGGAGGCAAAAGCAAGGUUACUGCUUCCACCUGAAUCACUUUUAUGUGAAUUAGAAAGAGGCUCCUCCUCUGCGUAGUGCAGCACUGAGUUGAUGGUGCGUUGAGCCAUUUGCCUCCUGCUCAGCACCUUGGACAGCACCAGCCUGUUCAAAUGCACGGCAGUCAGGUGUAAAUGCUGGGAAAUAGAUGGCUGUGGAAGGGAUUAUAUGGUCCAGUGUGGGUCCUGGCAUAGAAGGAAUAAAUGAUAUUGGACACGUGUAUUGAGAGGGUCAAUUAAGAAAGGAGUAUAAGCUAACUGAUACCUUUAGAAGUACUCCUUUUUUUGGCAUAGGGUAAAAAUUAUUGUUACGGUUCUUUAGACCCAUGUACUCUGGAAAAAUAAUUUUUCAUAGUAAACAGAGAACAGAAUUUAGGAAAGUUGAUUGUAUUUUUGGUUCAACUCAAGAGACAUGAGCUCUUAAAAUACCCCAAAUCUUUCAGCCUAUGAGUUAUUUUAAUCCAUGUGCUAUCCCAUUCUUGAAGGUACAUUUGAGAAUCUCAAAAAGGGAAGUCAUCCUCUCUCCAGAAAAAUAAAUAACACAUGCACAUAACUAUUUCACAAUUAGUUUUAGUGGUUACAUGGGUGAAUUUUGGGGUUUAGUGGGUCUGUUUCCAAACCUGGCUAGUUGUCACAAUUAUUGGAGGUCCUUUCAAACAUGCAGAUUACCUGCCUCCACCAUGGCAGAUUCUGAUUAAUGAAUUUGAUAAUAAGCCUAAUAUAUUUGAAUUAUGCUCUUACAUACAAGGUGAGAUCGAAGGAAGAAAAAGUCAACCAAGAAGAAGUGACAAGAAAAGUAGUUAAAGGCUGUUUUUAUGCUGCCAGGCAUAAACCAGAGACAAAUGUAGAUAUUUGAAAAAUAUACUUCAAGAAUGAUUUUCUCAUUAAAAUAUUUCUCUUAUUUUGUCUAUAAUACUCAUAAAAUAAAGUAGAUAAUGCAAGGCAAUGGGCAGAGGAAGGGUUUUUACAAUAUAGUGUGUAGAGGAAGGGCUUGCAGGAGGUAACACAGAGGGGAAGGUUCUCUUUCCACAGUUGGUAGCUUCCAUAGAAUCCCUGGUAGUAUGACCAACCUGGAGGCAUAAAACUUCUAGAAGAUGACUUUGUGUUUUCACUUUGUUGGUGUGAAUAGUUGAGUGAAAAUAUCCAACUCAUUUUAGGUGAGGAGGUGAUUAAUCAGUCAUACAAAAAUGAUCAGUAAUAAUGAAGUUAUAAGCAACAUUCUCUGAUGAAAUCCACUCCCACCACAAAAAAAAAGCCUUGUAAAAAAGUUAACAGAUUUGCAUCGAGAUGUUUUGAAAUAUUGAAAAAGUUUUCUUCAUGAAUUUUCACUGGGAAAACAAAAUAUACCAUUUGUAAGAAUUGCUUCUUUGCUGCCUCACACAAAGAAAACAGUAUUGGGCUAAACAUUACAUGUAAAAGGAUCCUUUGGGGGCAAAAUCUCUAUCACCAAGCAUUGAUUCCUUUCCUGUCUUCUGGUUUAGUACCAAUUACAGAGAUUAAAUUUUAGUUUCUAAUAUUAAUUAAUAUUGCAAAUACAACAAAUUUACAUGUUGAUGAAAACAAUAUGUAGGGAAUUUUUUUUUCUGUCAGCAGAACUUUCCCCUAAUUUGUUCCUCUUAAAUUUAACUUGUU